CCCUUAUGCUUAGGGCUACACACGUGCUACAAUGGGUAGUACAGAGGGUUGCCAAGCCGUAAGGUGGAGCUAAUCCCUUAAAGCUACUCUCAGUUCGGAUUGUAGGCUGAAACUCGCCUACAUGAAGCUGGAGUUACUAGUAAUCGCAGAUCAGAAUGCUGCGGUGAAUGCGUUCCCGGGUCUUGUACACACCGCCCGUCACACCACGGGAGUUGGAGACGCCCGAAGCCGAUUAUCUAACCUUUUGGAAGAAGUCGUCGAAGGUGGAAUCAAUAACUGGGGUGAAGUCGUAACAAGGUAGCCGUAUCGGAAGGUGCGGCUGGAUCACCUCCUUU
rnacentral:rRNA from 1 species